rnacentral:rRNA from 1 species
UCAGAAUCAACGCUGGCGGCGUGCCUAACACAUGCAAGUCGAACGAGAACGGUGCCUUCGGGCGCUUAUUAGAGUGGCGAACGGGUGAGUAACGCGUGGGUGAUCUGCCCUCAAGAGGGGGAUAACUCGGGGAAACCCGGGCUAAUACCGCAUGAGCCCUACGGGGGAAAGGUCCUUCGGGAUCGUUUGAGGAGGAGCCCGCGUCCGAUUAGCUAGUUGGUGAGGUAAGAGCUUACCAAGGCGACGAUCGGUAGCCGGUCUGAGAGGACGGACGGCCACACUGGAACUGAGACACGGUCCAGACUCCUACGGGAGGCAGCAGUGGGGAAUUUUGGGCAAUGGGGGCAACCCUGACCCAGCAACGCCGCGUGGAGGAUGAAGGUUUUCGGAUCGUAAACUCCUGUCCGGAGGGACGAAGCAAGUGACGGUACCUCUGGAGGAAGCCCCGGCUAACUCCGUGCCAGCAGCCGCGGUAAUACGGGGGGGGCAAGCGUUGUUCGGAAUUACUGGGCGUAAAGGGCGCGCAGGCGGUUUUGGAAGUCAUGGGUGAAAGCCCCGGGCUCAACCCGGGAAUGGCCUGUGAAACCACGGAACUGGAGUGCUGGAGAGGGAAGCGGAAUUCCCAGUGUAGCGGUGAAAUGCGUAGAUAUUGGGAGGAACAUCGGUGGCGAAGGCGGCUUCCUGGACAGACACUGACGCUGACGCGCGAAAGCCAGGGGAGCGAACGGGAUUAGAUACCCCGGUAGUCCUGGCUGUAAACGAUGAAUACUUGGUGUGGGGGGUUAGGAAAGUCCCUCUGUGCCGUAGAGAACUC